AUACGAAGGGUGCAAGCGUUAAUCGGAAUUACUGGGCGUAAAGCGUGCGCAGGCGGUUUUGUAAGACCCAGGUGAAAUCCCCGGGCUCAAACUGGGAACUGCCUUUGUGACUGCAAGGCUAGAGUACGGCAGAGGGGGAUGGACUUCCGCGGGUAGCAGUGAAAUGCGUAGAUAUGCGGAGGAACACCGAUGGCGAAGGCAAUCCCCUGGGCCUGUACUGACGCUCAUGCACGAAAGCGUGGGGAGCAAACAGGAUUAGAUACCCUGGUAGUCCACGCCCUAAACGAUGUCAACUGGUUGUUGGGUCUUAACUGACUCAGUAACGAAGCUAACGCGUGAAGUUGACCGCCUGGGGAGUACGGCCGCAAGGUUGAAACUCAAAUGAAGUGACGGGG
rnacentral:rRNA from 1 species